GUAUCUGUAGCUCAGCUGGAUAGAGCAACGCCCUUCUAAGUCGUGGGUCGGGGGUUCGAAUCCCUUCAGAUACGCCA
rnacentral:tRNA from 1 species